rnacentral:rRNA from 1 species
GACGUAGGAUGCAAGUGUUAUCCGGAAUCACUGGGCGUAAAGCGUCUGUCGGUGGUUUAAUAAGUCAACUGUUAAAUCUUGAGGCUCAACCUCAAAAUCGCAGUCGAAACUAUUAGGCUAGAGUAUAGUAGGGGUAAAGGGAAUUUCCAGUGGAGCGGUGAAAUGCGUAGAGAUUGGAAAGCCCACCAAUGGCGAAGGCACUCUACUGGGCCAUUACUGACACUGAGGCGCGAGAGCGUGGGGAGCAAACAGG